rnacentral:rRNA from 1 species
UACGAAGGGGGCUAGCGUUGCUCGGAAUCACUGGGCGUAAAGCGCACGUAGGCGGAUUGUUAAGUCAGGGGUGAAAUCCUGGAGCUCAACUCCAGAACUGCCUUUGAUACUGGCAAUCUCGAGUCCGGGAGAGGUGAGUGGAACUGCGAGUGUAGAGGUGAAAUUCGUAGAUAUUCGCAAGAACACCGGUGGCGAAGGCGGCUCCCUGGUCCGAUACUGACGCUCAUGUGCGAAAGCGUGGGGAGCAAACAGG